rnacentral:misc_RNA from 1 species
GAUGAAGAACGUAGCGAAAUGCGAUAAGUAAUGUGAAUUGCAGAAUUCAGUGAAUCAUCGAAUCUUUGAACGCACAUUGCGCCCGCCAGUAUUCUGGCGGGCAUGCCUGUCCGAGCGUCAUUUCAACCCUCGAACCCCUCCGGGGGUCGGCGUUGGGGACCUCGGGAGCCCCUAAGACGGGAUCCCGGCCCCGAAAUACAGUGGCGGUCUCGCCGCAGCCUCUCCUGCGCAGUAGUUUGCACAACUCGCACCGGGAGCGCGGCGCGUCCACGUCCGUAAAACACCCAACUUCUGAAAUGUUGACCUCGGAUCAGGUAGGAAUACCCGCUGAACUUAAGCAUAUCAAUAAGCGGAGGA